CAGAAUGUGCCUGAAUAACUCUGAAGGUUAAAAUAUGUUGACUGAAUUUUCUGCUGCUACCAUUCAGCAGCAGCUAGGCUGUGCCUCUAAUGAUCGUGAUACAUAGUGGAAAUUUUCCUGGCUUCUAUACAUCAUCAUCUCUGCCUGAAAAGUCUUCCUUACUUCCGUCGGGCGCUGUGGCUCAUUCCUGUAAUCCCAGCACUUUGGGAGGCCGAGGUGGGCAGAUCACGAGGCGGGCAGAUCACGAGGUCAGGAGAUCGAGACCAUCCUGGCUAACACGGUGAAACCCCGUCUCUACUAAAAAUACAAAAAAAAAUUAGCCAGGCUUCGUGGCAGGCGCCUAUAGUCCCAGCCAUUUGGGAGCCUGAGGCAGGAGAAUGGCGAGAACUCAGGAGGCGGAGCUUGCAGUGAGCCGAGAUCGCGCCAUUGCACUCUAGCCUGGGCCCAGAGCGAGACUACA
rnacentral:lncRNA from 1 species